GCCUUAGUGGUGUAGUGGUAGCGCACGCACCCGGAAAGGGUGAAACGCGGGUUCAACUCUCGCUUGAGGCU